rnacentral:lncRNA from 1 species
AAUUAAUCGAAAAUGAAAAUGACAGACAUGAACCAACAACAACCAGUGAACUACAUGCUCCUGACUUGGGACAGGCACAUAAUGAGUGUGGCAGGGUUAAACGUGUUUGUGAGCGCUGAACCUUUCCCCCUUAUCUGGGAUAGUGACAUAACAGCACCUAUAAAAAUCAGUGGAAAGCUUAAAGUUAUCAGUUUUGUUGAUUUAGAAUGCAUUCAAGAAAAGGAUUGUCCAUUUAAAGUUGCCCGAAAUCUGACACCUCCUUUUCAGCACCCAUGACAUGACUUAGCCCAGUAUUCCAACAAGGGGCAAAUAUAUGUGUAGACCUUUU